UCAGUGGUGACAUUAGCGAAGAAUGACAGCAUGUCUCUAACAAAGAUGUGAAAACUGAGGCUUUUCAAAGUCACACAGUUAGCAAAAUGUGGAGCCGGAAUUCAAAUACAGGUUUCCGUGGCUUGAGAUCCCAGCUUUUCACCAUUAAACAGUGUCACCUUCAGAAAUGGCCUUUAUGCCUCCUGGUCUCAACAUAGAGCAGAAAGGACCAUCUGGACACCACAUAUGAGGAAAUCAGACAUCUCUAGGUUGAAUCAUGCCCAAAAGGACAAUUUCUUGUCAGAUAAGCUGCUGUGUACUAAGUCUGAUAACUAACAAAAUUGCUAUAUGGUAAUUUUAACUGGAAAUUGUCCACUUUUAUCCUCCGGUUUUCUCUCUUAUUCCAUUGGUAACCACCCUGGGAGUUCUAAUACCAUGUCCAUGUACAAGUGCUUAAAUCAACCCUCAGGUUGUGACAGUCAAGCUACAGUGGCUGUGAAAUAAUCUGCACAGCAGAGUAUGCUAUGUCAUUGGCUCAAUCAGCAUAAUGCAGCAUAAUAGAAUAGAAGCACACAAUUAUAUAAUGCCAUAAUUUGAUUUCUCUCUAAUUUCUGGACACAUCACAAAAUAAUCAAGGCAGUGAAAUGAAGUGUAAAGAAUAAUGGCUGAGUUUGGAGUCACAUCACUGCCACUUGCUAGCCUGUGUGACCUUAAACAAAUAAAAAACUCUUUCUUGA
rnacentral:lncRNA from 1 species